rnacentral:rRNA from 1 species
GGCGGUAUGCUUAACACAUGCAAGUCGAACGAAAUCUUUCGGGAUUUAGUGGCGGACGGGUGAGUAACGCGUGAGAAUCUGGCUUCAGGUCUGGGACAACCACUGGAAACGGUGGCUAAUACCGGAUGUGCCGAGAGGUGAAAGGUUAACUGCCUGAAGAUGAGCUCGCGUCUGAUUAGCUAGUUGGAAGUGUAAUGGACUCCCAAGGCGACGAUCAGUAGCUGGUCUGAGAGGACGAUCAGCCACACUGGGACUGAGACACGGCCCAGACUCCUACGGGAGGCAGCAGUGGGGAAUUUUCCGCAAUGGGCGAAAGCCUGACGGAGCAAUACCGCGUGAGGGAGGAAGGCUCUUGGGUCGUAAACCUCUUUUCUCAGGGAAGAAGACAAUGACGGUACCUGAGGAAUAAGCAUCGGCUAACUCCGUGCCAGCAGCCGCGGUAAUACGGAGGAUGCAAGCGUUAUCCGGAAUGAUUGGGCGUAAAGCGUCCGCAGGUGGCGAUGUAAGUCUGCUGUUAAAGAGUCUAGCUCAACUAGAUAAGAGCAGUGGAAACUACAUAGCUAGAGUACGUUCGGGGCAGAGGGAAUUCCUGGUGUAGCGGUGAAAUGCGUAGAGAUCAGGAAGAACACCGGUGGCGAAGGCGCUCUGCUAGGCCGUAACUGACACUGAGGGACGAAAGCUAGGGGAGCGAAUGGGAUUAGAUAC